rnacentral:rRNA from 1 species
CCCUUAGAUGUUCUGGGCCGCACGCGCGCUACACUGACGAUGGCAACGAGUUUUUCCUUCGCCGAAAGGUGUGGGUAAUCUUUUGAAACAUCGUCGUGCUGGGGAUAGAUCAUUGCAAUUUUUGAUCUUGAACGAGGAAUUCCUAGUAAGCGCGAGUCAUCAGCUCGCGUUGAUUACGUCCCUGCCCUUUGUACACACCGCCCGUCGCUACUACCGAUUGAAUGGUUUAGUGAGGACUCCUGAUUGGCGCCGCCGCCCCGGCAACGGAGCAGCGGACUGCCGAAAAGUUGUUCAAACUUGAUAAUUUAGAGGAAGUAAAAGUCGUAACA